AGUGAACGCUGGCGGUAGGCCUAACACAUGCAAGUCGAACGGCAGCACAGUAAGAGCUUGCUCUUACGGGUGGCGAGUGGCGGACGGGUGAGGAAUACAUCGGAAUCUACUUUUUCGUGGGGGAUAACGUAGGGAAACUUACGCUAAUACCGCAUACGACCUACGGGUGAAAGCAUGGGAUCUUCGGACCUUGCGCGAUUGAAUGAGCCGAUGUCGGAUUAGCCAGUUGGCGGGGUAAAGGCCCACCAAGGCGACGAUCCGUAGCUGGUCUGAGAGGAUGAUCAGCCACACUGGAACUGAGACACGGUCCAGACUCCUACGGGAGGCAGCAGUGGGGAAUAUUGGACAAUGGGCGCAAGCCUGAUCCAGCCAUACCGCGUGGGUGAAGAAGGCCUUCGGGUUGUAAAGCCCUUUUGUUGGGAAAGAAAAGCAGCAGGUUAAUACCCCGCUGUUCUGACGGUACCCAAAGAAUAAGCACCGGCUAACUUCGUG
rnacentral:rRNA from 1 species